rnacentral:rRNA from 1 species
UCGGACGGGGCUAAGGGGGCAACUCUUUAGCCCAGUGGCGCACGGGUGAGUAACACGUAGGUAACCUACCCGAAGGAGGGGGACAACCUCGGGAAACCGGGGCUAAUACCGCAUAAGACCACGGAACUGGGAUGUCUGUGGUAAAAGCAGAGAUGCACCUUCGGAUGGGCCUGCGGCCUACCAGGUAGUUGGUGGGGUAAUGGCCCACCAAGCCUAAGACGGGUAGCCGGUCUGAGAGGAUGGACGGCCACACUGGAACUGAGACACGGUCCAGACUCCUACGGGAGGCAGCAGUGGGGAAUUUUGCGCAAUGGGGGAAACCCUGACGCAGCGACGCCGCGUGGAGGAUGAAGGCCUUCGGGUUGUAAACUCCUUUUGUGGGGGACAAUGGUGAUGGUACCCCAUGAAGAAGCCCCGGCUAACUACGUGCCAGCAGCCGCGGUAAGACGUAGGGGGCCAGCGUUGCUCGGAAUGACUGGGCGUAAAGGGUCCGUAGGCGGUGUGGCGUGUCUGGAGUGAAAUGCUGAGGCUCAACCUCAGCGCUGCUCCGGAAACUGCCAUGCUCGAGUGUGGGAGAGGCGAGUGGAAUUGCAGGUGUAGCGGUGAAAUGCGUAGAUAUCUGCAGGAACACCAGUGGCGAAAGCGGCUCGCUGGACCACAACUGACGCUGAGGGACGAAAGCUAGGGGAGCAAACAGGAUUAGAUACCCUGGUAGUCCUAGCCCUAAACGAUCACGACUUGGCGUGUCCCAUUCAUUUGGGNNNUGCCGGAGCUAACGCGUUAAGUCCUGCGCCUGGGGAGUACG